GCUCACCUUCCCAGCCUGCGUAGCCGUCCCAUCUCGCUCCUAGGACUGCCCCUUCUCGCGUCAUCUGGAGGCGGGGGCGGGCCGAAGAAGGCGGAAAUGAUUUGAGAUGAGCACGCCCGCCUCUGCUUUCCCAAUGACCCGAGGCUUCCCGCCCGCAUCCCGCUCGAGUGGCUUCGGGGUCUCGUGAUCCGUGAAGGAGGUUCUGAUCCUUGACCUCUAACCUCAGAGUCUCGGCAAUCUUAAAGAUCGGGUUUUUUUUUUCCGUAGCAAGAUGCCAUCUCAGCCUCCCGGGCAGCUGAGCCGGCCCGCAGCUGACCUUGGUCCGCCGGUGGAGGGGUGGGCGGCGCGGUUAGGGACCCGGAUGGAGCCCCCAGCCCUGCUCCUGCUGCGGCUCCUGCAGUCCGGGCCCGGGGGCGUGCUGGGAGCGCUCAGGGCCCUCCCACGGCUCCGGGCUGGGGGCUCCGAGCGGCCCUUCCGCUGGGGGCCCUUCCUGGAGGCGCUGAGCCGAGAGCAGCCCGUGCUGGAGGGGCCCGACCGCCGCCUGAAGCUGAAGCCACUGCUGCUGCAGUUGCCCCAGCUGUGCCAAAGGAACCUCUUGUCCUUGCUGUUAAUUGUACAGACUGAGCUUCCCAAGAGUGGACUCCUCCUUGUACUCCAGGCAGCCAAGCAGGAUUCUAACCUGGACUCCUGGAUUUGGGCCCUGGGGGAAUUGCUUCACAGGGAACUGAUUACAGAUGAGGUCACCAAAGAGGCCUCCCCUUUGACACAAGGAUGCCGGGAACAGCUCCAAAGGCUUUGUGGACAUUUAGGCAGAGGAUUGAGGUCAAGCUAUCCCUUGGACCUUGAGGAGACUGAGGACAGGGGCACUCAGCGUCCUGGCAAACGCAAGAAGGAGCCUGAAGGAGAGCCUGAGGGCUCUGAGAAAGAAGUGCUCUUUAAGAGACCUCGAUCCCUGGAAGGGAAAGGAAAAAUAGAAGAGGAACAGCAGCUCCAGGAGAGGACUACAGAUGAACAGGGAUCAUCUGUAUGUGGAAGCAGAGAAUCACCCCAAAGAACUGAGGGCAGCAGUGAUCAGUCCAUUCUGGAAGCAGCAGGCAUGAGGGCUGAUGACAGACAACAUGAGAAGCUGGUUGAGGGUCAGGAAUUACCCAAAGCCAUCAAGGACCAGGUUCCCCGAAUGCUAGAGCUACUGGAAACUGAAUGGGAGGGCCUAGAGGGAACCCCACCCCUCGAGCUGCAGUUUCUUCAUGAGUGCAGCCCUAACCAGCUAGAGAACCUUUGCUCGAAGCUGCGGCUCUCUCAGCUCCCAGACACAGCCCUCCUACAGUUCUGUAAUCGGCUCUUGGCACUCUCUCCAGACCUUAGCUGUAGCAGUGCCACCAUACUUGCAAGAAACCUUUUCCUUGAACAGGUUCUUUCCCUGACAGCUUCAGCCUCUCGACUGCUCAGAGCUGCCAUGAUUGCGUUCAGUGCCAGAUAUCCUCAUCCUGUCUGUAGUGGCCUCUUGAUUCCAGCCUUACAGGCCGCAGGCUCAGGCCCCACACAGACAGAGCUUCUUUGUUGCCUGCUAGAGGGGGACACUCUGGAAGCGGACUUGCUGGUGCUGGUGUUAAAGACCUCUCUUCUACAGACAAAUCUUGGAGUUACCCUGGAGAGAGGAGACCUUCAUAGUAAUGCAGUCCCUUCUAGGGCGACAGAUGGACCUGUCCCCAGAGAACUUCAGCGUCUUAGUGCAAAAGCUAUCCCUUGAAGGCCUGGCUGCUGCUGAUUCUGUGGGCUGUGCCAAGCUGGUCCUGACAGUUGUGACAAAGUACCAAGAUCAGAUCACAGAAGCACACAAAGCCUGCCUUGCUUCUGCAGUGGAGUUCAACACCACCUUCCUGAAAAAACCUAUUCAGGCUGCACUAAGACGUUUAACCUCGUGAGGUACCUUCCCCACCAGUUCCUAAAGAACAUCUGCCUCAGCUUUAACCUGCCUUCACUAUUAGCUCUCUAGCAGAGUAAGAUCAUCAGGUUUGACUGCUCAUCCCGGUAGCUGCUCCAGAAUACUCAGAUCUUCUUCUAUGGCACAAAUGAUGUCCACCUUUCUGGACAAGAAAGAAAUGGAAACAAGUUAGAAAUGAUUUGGGGUUAUGCAGAGGAAUGAUCUUACAAACUUAGAGAAAUUAAAGUUGAUUCCGCUAAGUCUGAAUUGAGCAGAUACUCUAAGAUGUCUGCUAUCAUAGAUUUCUUUGACUGUCAGUUUUGUUGAAGUUCGGGAAGGGCUGCUAAACAGAGGCUCAGAGUUGACUGCCUGCAUUUCUCCAUAUAAACCCUUUCUAGUCCUCCCUGAGAACCAUCACUUUUAACAUAGAAUGACAAAGAAGAAGAAGGAAAAAAAAAAAAAAACAGUUCAACAAAAUGGGCAUGAGCUAUUGAGUUACAUGUCUUCCUUCUUCUCAUUGACCUUUUUCUGCUUCUGUUGCAUCUCCCUGUCCUUCUGCUUCCGGGCAGCAACAGAGAGUGCAGCAUUUUCCCUUGUCUGAGUUGCUUUGCUUUUUCAUGUUCUUCUGGCGGGCAAACUCACACUGGUUGCCUCAGGUCAUGGCAACGACUCCAGUCUGAGUUAGUAGUGUCCAAUAGCACCCUGUUUCUCUUGGUGCCCAAAAGAGAGGGAGAUUCAUUUCUCAUUUCUCUUUUGGAGGCAAGCUUGGUCAUCUUAAUUUUAUAUAUUCAGUUUCUGUUGUUCUGUUGUUUCUGUUUCCAUCUACAUUGUUGUAGUCAUUUUAUGUGCUGUUUUCUGGUCCUACUUAACUUCAUUCUGCAUCAGUUCAUGUACUUCUUUCCAUCUUUCCCUGUAUUCAUGACAAUUUGUUAUUCAUAACUACCUCCUUUUUUUCUACUUUGCUACUGUGAAAAGUGAUGCAAAUAUAAUUAUUUUGAUGUUAUUAUUUGGUGUCUUUCUUUUUAUUAUUUUUUAUCACUGACUUUCUUAGAGUAUAUGAAUCAGGAUAGCUGGUAUAGAAAGUGGGAAAGGAAAUUGGACUAAAAACCUGAACUGUGUCUUAUACCCAGUGAUUUUCUUUUAUAUUAAAGAACAAUUUUUUUAUUCUGAACUUGACAAACACCAAAUAAAAUGUUCAUUUCCAUAGGUCAGUAGUAUUAUCUAUUUUAUUGUAUUGUUAAUUGUUUUAUUAAAUAUUUCCCAGUUACAUUUUAAUAUGGUUCCAGCAUACUCUGGAGUGUUGUAGGCCAAAUGCAGCCAACAGGCCACAUGUUGAAUGCCUUUGCUUUAUACAAAGUAGAUCAGAUAAUGAGGAUUGUACUUGAAGCCAUGAAUCUAUUACUGCUUAUCUUUUUCCUACACAUAUAUAAUAAAUACAGUAUUUUAUUUUCAAAACUG